UACGUAGGGUGCGAGCGUUGUCCGGAAUUACUGGGCGUAAAGAGCUCGUAGGUGGUUUGUCGCGUUGUUCGUGAAAUCUCACGGCUUAACUGUGAGCGUGCGGGCGAUACGGGCAGACUGGAGUACUGCAGGGGAGACUGGAAUUCCUGGUGUAGCGGUGGAAUGCGCAGAUAUCAGGAGGAACACCGGUGGCGAAGGCGGUUCUCUGGGCCUUACCUGACGCUGAGGAGCGAAAGCGUGGGGAGCAAACAGG
rnacentral:rRNA from 1 species